rnacentral:rRNA from 1 species
GACGAACGCUGGCGGCGUGCUUAACACAUGCAAGUCGUACGGUAAGGCCCUUUCGGGGGUACACGAGUGGCGAACGGGUGAGUAACACGUGAGUAACCUGCCCACAACUUUGGGAUAACGCUAGGAAACUGGUGCUAAUACUGGUUAUGUGCUCCUGCUGCAUGGUGGGGGUUGGAAAGCUCCGGCGGUUGUGGAUGGACUCGCGGCCUAUCAGCUUGUUGGUGGGGUAGUGGCCUACCAAGGCGGCGACGGGUAGCCGGCCUGAGAGGGUGACCGGCCACAUUGGGACUGAGAUACGGCCCAGACGCCGACGGGAGGCAGCAGUGGGGAAUAUUGCACAAUGGGCGCAAGCCUGAUGCAGAAACGCCGCGUGCGGGAUGACGGCCUUCGGGUUGUAAACCGCUUUCAGCAGGGACGAAGCUUUUUGUGACGGUACCUGCAGAAGAAGCACCGACUAACUACGUG